CAAAUAUUUCAUAAUAAACUAGUAGUAUAUGAAGAAGUUAGUUAGACUGUUGAAAUUAUGUAAGCUGUAACAGGCUAUAAAACUACAUAGGCUGCAACAAAUUGUUAUGGAAUAUUAUGUGACAAAUGUUGCAGUCAUUGUUCAAACAACAAUAUUACCUAACUGAAACAUUUAAAUCACUUGCAAAGUAAACUUGGAUAUGCAGACAUGUUUUCUGUGCACUUAAAAUAUUAUUCUGUUAUAUAGUAUUGUAAAUACACCCAAGUACAUUUUGUAAAAGCUAUGCCUAAAAAAAAAGCAAAGUGUUGUAAAACUUGAUGUUUUAUACUCAGUUCUUAUACCUAAAUUUAAAUACUUAAUUAACUGUUACUAUUAAGUCUAAAUUUAAGCAUAUGGUAUCCUAAUUUUAAUUUUAUUGUUGAAAGAGUCUGUGUUCAGACGUUACUUGUAUUGUAUUCAAAUAUGCCCAGUAGGCUUAGAAAAUGGCAGAACUACAUGUUUGAAGUUUACCUAAAAUACAGUUUUUUCUUCCUUUUUCUGAAUACAAAGUGGUCAUCGAAAGGUUGAAUAUACAGAAAAUUCAAUCUUAAAGGCAGGUAUUGUUGAACGUUUUUUAAACAGGGUAAUUUCUCUCAUUUAUCUUUUUUUUUUUCUUGCAUAGCUCACCUGCUUAAGACAAUCAAGGUAUAAUCAAGAGUUUUCUCUACCUAUAACAAGGCACAACUACAGUUAUUAAAUAAUGUCAUUGGAGACCCUAAGUAAAUUAUUUUGCAAAACAAGUGUCAGGUGACUGGUCUUGUGAUCUGAUACACAUUUCAGGGAAAUAAAAAGUUUUCAUAUAACAGUUUAAACAGCAUUAGUGUUUGUUAACAAAUCAAGAUUGAUACUGACAUAUGUCAGGAUCUUGACAAAGAAACUUUGAUGUUUUCAUGAUGUAGAGAGCAGUAAGGUCAGCUGCAAGCCACUCUAUCUAACACUAUAAGUCUUUGCAGAGUGGCUACAAAUCUCACAAAGUAUAGUUAACAGAAUGUGGACUCAGUAUCAGACCAAACAGGAGGAUUUGAUAAUCAUCUUUUAUAAACUCAUAAAGUGACCUCUAUAUAACAAUAUGGGAUACAUGUAACCAGUAGACAUUACCUUUCUAACUGAACCAACAGUUCAGGUCAGUAUCUGUAAGAAAAGUUAGCAUGGAAAUUGUUAUACACAAGCUUCAUAAGACUAGCCUUUAUGCUAGAUGACCAGUGUGGUAUGUUCCUCUAAGUCACCACCACAAAAUGGUGUGUCUUCAGUGGUGUCAUGAUUAAGUGAAUUGAUUAAAUGACAUGUGGGCAAAUGUUAAAAAAUGAAUGUUUUAUAUUGCAACAAAGUAUGUAUACAUUUGAAGAAUAGCUGAGACAAGAUCCAUUCCCAAGCAUAUGGUGGUGGUUGUCCUGACAGGGAUUGUUAUGAAUGCCAUGUGAUAUAGGGAUAUAGUCUUAUACCUUUAGCAUUGUCAUGUGCAGGUGCUGUUGGCUAGAACUUUCUUCUGAUGGGUGAUGAUAGGUGAUAGGUACUCUCACUGUGUUCAACUAUUUUGUAACUUCCUUGAAGAAUAGGAUAUUGAAUGAAUAGAUUGACCAACAUACUUACCAACCUGUGUGAUGAAUUAAAAGCAACUCUGAAGGAAGAGUUGGCACAUUAGUGACAUAGCCAGGUAAAAAAUUUUGUGGGUCUGGAAUUAAACUUCAUGAUUAGGAAGUAUAAAAACCUGCUGCUGGGUCCUAUUAUCCAAACAGCUUAUUGAUUCACUCAUUUUAAGCAUGCCACAUCAUUAUGAUCUUAGUGCACAAUUUGUAUUAGUGUCUGGGGUGGUUAAAUAGCUUAUUAAUAAAUGUUUUCUGAUCAUUUAUUGGGCUGCUAAGUCUGUAGUACCAAAUGAGAAUUUGUGGAUGCGGGCUUUCAUAGUAAACAUUUCUACAUCAGUUGACAUGACUUGUCAUCUGAUGCUUGUUUUGCAUAAAAAUUACUUCUGGAGUAACAUUUGUGCCACUGACAUUAUUACAACUUAGUAAAAUUAAUUUUUUUAUGAGAAAAGUGAACUAUAUUUUAAAGUUAAUAGUUUUAUUUCAUAUCUAGCGUACACUAUAAAAUGAUGUUAUUCUGAAAAUAAGGUAAGUAUAUAAUCCAAUAAAGUUGCACCAUUUAUGCACUCUAAGAAAUGUAUUUUUCACUGGGGUACAUAAACAUCAAAAUAUGUGUACAUAAAAAAAGCAUACACAGGAAUACUUGAGCAUCAGAA